rnacentral:rRNA from 1 species
AGUGAACGCUGGCGGUAGGCCUAACACAUGCAAGUCGAACGGCAGCACAGUAAGAGCUUGCUCUUACGGGUGGCGAGUGGCGGACGGGUGAGGAAUACAUCGGAAUCUACUUUUUCGUGGGGGAUAACGUAGGGAAACUUACGCUAAUACCGCAUACGACCUACGGGUGAAAGCAGGGGAUCUUCGGACCUUGCGCGAUUGAAUGAGCCGAUGUCGGAUUAGCUAGUUGGCGGGGUAAAGGCCCACCAAGGCGACGAUCCGUAGCUGGUCUGAGAGGAUGAUCAGCCACACUGGAACUGAGACACGGUCCAGACUCCUACGGGAGGCAGAAGUGGGGAAUAUUGGACAAUGGGCGCAAGACUGAUCCAGCCAUACCGCGUGGGUGAAGAAGGCCUUCGGGUUGUAAAGCCCUUUUGUUGGGAAAGAAAAGCAGCAGGUUAAUACCCCGCUGUUCUGACGGUACCCAAAGAAUAAGCACCGGCUAACUUCGUG